CUCCUUCCUCUCUGUUGUGUCUCUCCCUCUCUGUUUAUCGUGGCACUGUGUGCCAGUGGGAGCGGGCAGUCCUGCCCCGAUCGCAACACAAACAAGACGAAGACAGACAGACAAAUGAAGGUCCUGGCUCCUUGUGGAACCCUCUCCAGGAGCCGUCAGCCUCCUUACAACCUGCUGCAAAAGGGAAGAUUGGGAUCAGUCUGUGUUAUUGUCCUGUCACUCUCCAAUGACUCAGCGUACAUCUGCACCUGCCACUGCCACCUUGGAUCCAAAUAAAUAUCCUCCCUGAACCCAAACCUGAGA